UACAGAGGGGGCAAGCGUUGUUCGGAAUUACUGGGCGUAAAGGGCGCGUAGGCGGCCUUCUAAGUCGAACGUGAAAUCCCCGGGCUCAACCCGGGAACUGCGUCCGAUACUGGAAGGCUAGAAUUCGGGAGAGGGAUGCGGAAUUCCAGGUGUAGCGGUGAAAUGCGUAGAUAUCUGGAGGAACACCGGUGGCGAAGGCGGCAUCCUGGACCGACACUGACACUGAGGAGCGAAAGCCAGGGGAGCAAACGGG
rnacentral:rRNA from 1 species